ACACGAACCGUCCAAACGUUAUUCGGAAUCAUUGGGCUUAAAGGGUGCGUAGGCGGCGCGGUAAGUGAGAUGUGAAAUCCCUCGGCUCAACCGAGGAACUGCGUUUCAUACUGCCGUGCUUGAGGGAGACAGGGGUAAGCGGAACUGAUGGUGGAGCGGUGAAAUGCGUUGAUAUCAUCAGGAACACCGGUGGCGAAGGCGGCUUACUGGGUCUCUUCUGACGCUGAGGCACGAAAGCUAGGGUAGCGAACGGAAUUAGAAACCCCAGUAGUCC
rnacentral:rRNA from 1 species